AACGAACGCUGGCGGCAUGCCUAACACAUGCAAGUCGAACGAGACCUUCGGGUCUAGUGGCGCACGGGUGCGUAACGCGUGGGAACCUGCCCUUAGGUUCGGAAUAACUCCCCGAAAGGGGUGCUAAUACCGGAUAAUGUCUUCGGACCAAAGAUUUAUCGCCUUUGGAUGGGCCCGCGUUGGAUUAGCUAGUUGGUAGGGUAAAAGCCUACCAAGGCGACGAUCCAUAGCUGGUCUGAGAGGAUGAUCAGCCACACUGGGACUGAGACACGGCCCAGACUCCUACGGGAGGCAGCAGUGGGGAAUAUUGGACAAUGGGCGAAAGCCUGAUCCAGCAAUGCCGCGUGAGUGAUGAAGGCCUUAGGGUUGUAAAGCGCUUUUACACGGGAUGAUAAUGACAGUACCGGGAGAAUAAGCUCCGGCUAACUCCGUG
rnacentral:rRNA from 1 species